GAAAAAUUGACGGAUGUAUGACAUUGGCACAAAUUCACAAGAUGAGAUUUGUUCAAAGCUUCAGCACGCCCAAUGUCCAAGAGAAGCCCUUCAUUCACGUCAAUCCAGGACUGACAAAGUUUUACAUCCAAUUUCCACUUAAUUGAAGCUUUAAGGUCUCUCACUCGACGCUUGACAUAAACUCUUCCGGAAUCAUAUUGCUGACGAAGAACACAAGCGACCUCAUCUGCUUCUUUUCCACUAAUGGUAUUGCACGUGGAUAAACUGCUAUACACUAACACUCUGUUUGGAUACGGUAAAAUAAAACAAAAUUUCACUUAAACUAGGGAAUUUAGGAUGGGAAAGCAGUUUUCCCUCAUUUGGGAACCUUGUAGCGCGAGAAACGGCAAAUUCUAUAGGAAUAAAGGUGGAAAUUGGGGAUGAAGAAUUCCGAGUUUAAUUUCCGCCUAAAGAGGUGUAAUUUCACAAUUCCAACAACGAUGAGAAUCCCGAAUUCAUCCGCAGGGAGAUUUUGUGCACGCCAAACUUCAGGAUUAGGGCACCAAAGUCAGAUAUCUAUCGCCAAAUUUCACAACAAAAGGGCUGCACGAUCUUCACUCUGUUAACUCUCCAAUCUUCGAAGGGAUUUUCGAUUGUGCAAUCAUCUUCUUCCUUUGUUCUAGGUCAGCGUCACUACUCUAUUCUAUCUUGAAAGAUUUUUAGCUUUUUGGGUGCGAUCUUCCUGUAAGCAUCAUGUAUUUCUGGUUUCAUUCCAUCCUUAUCUGGGUGCGAUCAUGUAUUUUAGGGUGCGAUCUUAUUACUGUAAGCCUCAUGUAUUUUUGGGUGCUAUCUUAUCUGGGAAGGGUGAAUUGUCCGGUUGAAUUGCCAUUUGGGUGUGAUCUUAUUAUGUUUUACUUUCUCC